AACUUUGUUAUAUGUAAAUGUAAGCUAGGGCCAUAUAUCUUAUUUACGUAAACGAGACAGGUUGGGAGCACAUAUAAGUAAAGUUAUCACAAAUAUCGUUGGUCUAGCGCACAAAGGUGCUAAGUAUCAAUUAAAAUAAGUUUUGUUUUUGAACGAAUUAUUUUUUUUUUGUAAACUGUACACAACUGUUUGAUGAUACUUUGAAUAAACCCUUAACUUCUUCAUUACCUAAUGUAUUAAACUCAUGUUGCACUAAAUUCCAAAAAUCGAAUUAAAAGUAGCAUAUUCCAUUUAAAAGAAUUCAGUUAGGUAGCGCCCCCUGGCGAUAGCCCAUUUCAUUUAAAAACUUUUUCACAAAAUAUUUCGCCUUCGAUAUAGCCCUAGCUUACAUUGAUAACAAAAUUGUAAUAAUUUUAAAAUCUGCAUUCGUUUCCGAGAUAUAAAAUUUCAAAACCCAAAAAUCCAAAUUCACCCUUUUAUUCAGAGCUAUCCACUAAUUUCUUAACUUAACCUUAAUACCAAACAAAUAUAAAAUACCUAUUUUAGAGUGACUAAGAUCGAAAAUGAAUCAAAAACAGUAAGAGGGUUGAGAAAUGUAUAAGGAAAGCAUAAUAGUUGAAACUAUACUGCUGAAGAAAAGGAAACUAGGAAAAGACAGGCAGUUGACAGUAGUGAAACGAACUAAAAAUAAGUUUCAAUUAACCGUAAACAAUAUAAUUGGAACCGGAACCGAAACCAAAAAUUACUGAAGCCACAGGACCGAAACCCUUAACAAUAAUUCUACCUAAAUAGGUCGGAACCGGAACCUAUAUUUCGUAUGGGUUCCAACUCCUGCCUCCUGAUAGAAGGCUACGGCAAUGAGAGAGUGAAGGAGAGGAGAGUGAAGGAGAGGAGAGUGAAGGAAAGGAGAGUGAAGGAAAGGAGAGUGAAGGAGAGGAGAGUGAAGGAGAGGAGAGUGAAGGAGAGGAGAGUAAAGGAGUGGAGGGUGAGGGGUCGUAGCUGUUUGCAUAUC